ACGAGAGCAAGUGAAUAGCGGGCAAAGGAAUCUAUCCUAUCUUCUUCGUCGCGGGCCCUAAUUUCAGAAUCAGUCAACACACCUCCCUCCCACCCACAGCGCCUCCAGUCGCCGGCAGCCUUCGUCGCGCUUCCGCCCAACGCCGGUAGCUUUGUUUCGCCGCGCCUCCGCCCAACGCCGGCUAUAAGGUAAGAUGGUACAACGUUGAAAUACAAAGAGUUCCAUAUUAGAAGCCUAGCAAAGUCGGUUCAGCUACUGGCAAGAAUUUAGCUCUUUUCCAGUUAAAGAUGUAUAAUUUGUAUAGCUUAUAUUGAAGUAGUGUAGUUGAAGGAUAAUUUUCACCAUUGUAUUUUCACUGGUGUAUUUUCUGUUGGAUAAUUUAUUAGCAACUCACGAUGUUUUAGUAUAAAUUUAUUUCCUUAAACACCAUGAAAUAUCUGUCAGGGUAGCCAUAGAUGGACCUGGUAACGUACAAACACAAACAUCCCCAAUCACAUAUCACACAGUAAACUAAUUAGAAAUCACAUAACCCUCCACCUCUUCUUCUUCUUUGUAUCAUCUUCUUCUUCUUCUUCGCUACAAAAUACUUGUCGAUGACCAUGUCAAGAAAAUCAAAGUAGCUAUCACUCCAAGGCUUCUCAAUCACUAGCCCAAGGCAAGGAACAACAAUGCUAAGAUAAAACCACUCAUUUGCUGCUUCCAUCUCCAUCGCCCGAGCCUUCACCACCGCACACUACUGCAAGCGGAGGGAUUAUAAUUUAUUCUGUCAUUUUGUAGCUGUUGAUGAUCUGAAGUAUUAAUCAUAAUUUCUAAACUUUCCAAUAAUCCAGAAAAGAAAAGAAAAAUUCGGUUUGAUUUCGAAUUUUGAGCAGAUUUGAAUCAAUCACUGAUGUCUGGAUUUCGUGAAAUUUCUAUUGAUUUAGCUGGUUAAUUGGUUGAUUAAUAGUCACUCGUUAUGAUUCCGAUUUCUGAUUCCUUAUCGCUGUUAAUGAAAAAGAGGGAGCAUUAUAUAUUUCUGCAAUGUGAUUUUAGUUUCGAAUUCUUUAUCUCUCUGUUAAUCAAAAUCCGAAAUGAAAUAUAUCUUAUGCAGUUGGAGUCUUUCAAUUAAAACUCUACAAAAUGUGCAUUCUUUGUAGAAGAUAUAGAGAUAUGGAUCCAGUGAAUGCAGUUACUGAGUUAUCAAGAGAUAGGCUGUCUCAGGAGCUCUCUCAUCGCCCGUGCCUCGACCCCAGCCACCAUCCUUCACGAGGACAACAAGGUGGUCGCUUUCCAAGACAUCAAUCCAUCCUCAUUGAGGCAUUAUCUGGUCAUCCCAGUCGAGCACAUACCAACUGUCAAGAAACUCUGGAGAAGGUCCGAGGACUUUGCUCUGGUCAGCAACAUGCUGGAUGUCGGGCGAGCUCUGCUGCAGAGGGACGCGCCUCAUGCUGAGCAGUACAGGUUCGGGUUCCACCAACCCCCCUUUAAUAGUUCCAUCUGCAUUGCUUUGCACUUCCAUAUACUCCCAAAUGGAGAGCUGUGAAGUACUUACCUUUGUUGGAUACAUCGAAGCUGUUGGAGAGGAUAAAGCCGCCGACUUCUCUCUGAUUAUGGUUUUGUCGAUGCUACACUUGGUGAACUACAUCAGAUGACUCAUUGGAGCCAUCGUCGUCAAAGUGCGGCUGCAUGACCUCGGUAAUUUUUUAUUAAAUUAGUACUGUGCUCUUAUGUGACUUCUCGGUGAUAUGAGAAAUAGGGAUGCCAAUUUAUAUAGAACGAUUACAUCAAAUUUUGAGGGAUAAAAUUCUAUAUGUCGGUAAAAUCUAGUGGUCACGUCUGUGAAUCAUGACAAAUAUUGUAAUUAGUGGUCCAUCGUAUAUACCCCAUUGAUUUUGACUCU